CAACUUCAAAGAUUCAGAUUAACCUUCAUUACAUGAUACUCACGGCAGGACCAGCAAAUCCAUUGGGACCAGCGGGACCAACUUCACCACGUUCACCCUAGGGCUCCCACGAGGACCAGCGGGACCAGCGGGACCAGCAGCACCAGCUUCACCCUGUGAUGGGGCCAAAGAUG